rnacentral:rRNA from 1 species
UACAGAGACUGCAAGCGUUAUUCGGAUUCACUGGGCGUAAAGGGUGCGCAGGCGGCCGUGUGUGUGAGGCGUGAAAGCCCGGGGCUUAACCCCGGAAUUGCACCUCAAACUACAUGGCUAGAGCAUUGGAGAGGGUAGCAGAAUUCAUGGUGUAGCAGUGAAAUGCGUAGAGAUCGGGAGGAACACCAGUGGCGAAGGCGACUACCUGGACCAGCACUGACACUGAGGCACGAAAGCGUGGGGAGCAAACAGG